CUCCAGGGAUGCCUCCUUCAGAAAUGUAUCCAUUAACUUUGGAGCCAAUGGCUGAAAGUCUCUUUAAAAAAGACAAAUCAAUCAAUCAAUCCAUUAACUUUUCCAGGGAAUCCGCCAGGAAUUUGUCCAAAAAAUUUUCUAGGAUUUCCUCCAGAAAUCCAUCUUGGAAUUGCUGAGAAAAUUUGCUUAUGAUUUCACAAAAAAAAAUGUGCCUAUGAUUUUUCAAAGUAGGUGGUGUCUGUGGAAAAUGUUUGAUUUUCACUGGAGUUUUCCGGAAAAUUAGGCAACCUUGAUUUUUUUCAAUUUAGUUUUUCAAAUAUAUAUGAUCCCUACCUUAUUUCAUUAACCUUCAGAAACUUCAUACCAAUUUGUACGAUAAUAAAAAAAAAUCCCCUAAUGCUCCAGGCAUUAGUCCAGGAACUUUUCCAGAGAUUCCGCAUGGAAUUUUUCCAGAAGGUUCUCCCGGAUAUCCUCCAGAAAUACAUCUAGGAACUCCUCCUGUGAUUUCUUGAAAAAUUCUUCUAAGGAUUCCUCCAGGAAUGCAUCCAGAAAUUCCUCCAAGCAUUCAUCUAAAAAAUUUUCUAGUAAUUUCUACAGGGAUUUCUGAUGCGGAUUCUUCAGAUUUUUUUUUUUGCUGAAAUUCCUAGCAUAAUUGCUUUUCGGAUUCCUCCAGGUAUACUUUCACAAAUUACUCCAGGGAUUCCUGCAGGUAUUGCUUCGAGAAUUCUUGUAAUGAUUUCUCUCGGGAUUUUUUUUUAAUUAUUCAGCGGUUAGUUAAAAAAUUUCAGUAUUCCGUUCUUAAUGUUUUUCAGGGAUUCACCCCAGGGCUUUUUCAGGAUUACUUGUAGAUUUUUUGAAUAAUUUGAAGGAUUUCUAGAGGAAUUCCUCCAGCGAUUUGUAUUGAAAUUCUUUUAGAUAAUUUUAGAGGGACAUAGAAGCCAAAAAAAUCUCCAAGAAGUCAUCCAGGAAUUCUUUCACAAUUAUCUCAUGAAUACCAAGUCUUUUACAAGUCCAAUCAUGAAUACCUUCAAACUUACGAUUACAUCUUGCAGCACCAGCUUUUAAAUACAUUAAAACUUCCUCAAUGAUCAUUUGAACUUGUGCGUUGUUUGAUAGACGCAAAAAUACCCCUGGCCCACGAAAUAAAAGAAAUUAAUAGUGUCCGACUAGAAAUCACCUCCAGCAUGGUUUUAAUGAAUACACUCUCGUUUACGCUUCAGCUACGUACAUCUAUUCUCACUAGGAAUUCACAAACUUUUGCUGGAAUUCCAUUGCAAAUUCAACCAGAGUUUUUUUUCCUACAUGAUACUUGAUUUCCAUAAAAUGCUAGAAAAUUCAAAGAUUCUUAAAUAUACCCAUCCAGGAAUUCCUGGAAAUUAUCAUUUAGAUUUAAUUUCUCAGCGAUUUAAAAAAGAAGAUGUACAAAGUAUUGCUUGUCUCCAAUAACUGUCAAUUUAAACACAUAUUAUGCCAAAUAAAUUUCUAUUACUGUACGUGCAGUUGAAACCCGGAAUUUUCAACUAGCGAAGUUGGGUUUUUCUCCAAAUCCGUGCGUCGGACCACAGUGGACGACAGUGGUUUUCAGAUUUUUUCUAAUUUCCAUAUAUAAAGUCAUGAAAAAUUCCUGGGGGGGGCCUGGCGGUUUCUGGGGGGGGCCUGGCGGUUUCUGGGGGGGGGGGCCUGCCCCCCCAGGCCCCCCUCUAGUUACGCCAAUGUCAAUGCCUAUGCUGUGGGCCGCCCAUCACGAUAAACCGGAGCAGUCAAUUCCUUGACUAAAUAAUGUGACCGAAACGUUGGACGAUAACUUAAAGGUAACGUUUUUGAAUUAUUGCUUCCAAGAUUGAAAGUCAUAACUUUCCAACAAGCUAUAUCUGUUAGGACUCUAGAGCUCCUAGAGGUACAAUCUUCCUGCUACUAGAUCAAGCAGAUAUUUCCGGAAAGCUUAUGAUUCUGAUCAGAUCUUGCAAAUUCCAGGAGGACGUGGAUGAAUCUAGGAGUUAAAACUCAUCCAGAAAUUCAUCUACAAGGAUGUUUUAAAAAAUUCAUCGAUUUCGACCGGCUUUUUUUUCAAAAUUCAUGCAAUUCUUUCCGGGAUUCCUCCUAGAGAAUCUUCCAGGAUUCCUGAAUUCCGAUCAACAUUUCUUUCAGUAUUUCUUGUUUUUUUCACGGGUCUUCGGCGUUUUCUUCAAGAAAUUGUCACUGGAUUUCUGGUACCGUUUACUUCGAGAAUUCUAUAGCAGUUUACCUCAGAAUAUUUCUCCGAGGUUGCCGGAAGAAAUUCCGGUGUUUCCAGGAUGCUUCUGGCAGUGUAAGCGCUAGACUAGGAAAGAAUAGAAAUAUGUAGAAUAUUUCCCAGAGGUAGCCGCGGAAUUUCUCCCGGGAUUCCUUUUGAAUGAUUUUCCAAGAUUCCUUCCUUCAGGAUUUUUUUCCAAAAAUUUUUCCGCAGACUACGGGAGUUUCUGCCGGGGAUUGUAGCAGACUGUGUGCGCGAGCGGCUGCGUUGUCACGCGUUUUCUUUGCACCGCGAUGUUUUGAAUAUUGCCGGCCGAAUUGAGAAAUGGAUAGUGGCGCCAUACAUUUCGCAAAUUUUACCUCAAAAAGUGUUUGUAAAUUGAUUUUUAGUAGUGUUGAGCAGGAUGAUUCGCGAUUGUUGUGAGAGUUUGUCUCAAUUCCAUCGAGGUGCCGGAAUUCGUUUUAAUUUUCGCGUGUAAUUUUUGGUGAUAUUGCUGUUGGAUGUCUGAGAGACGGAAGUUGCCAAUAAUUUGGUAAGGUUGUGCUUUUGGUAACGGACGGAAAGGAGGCAUACCGGCGAUCUGAGACUGUACAACCUAUAAAUUUGUGCGACUUGCUCAAUGCUAAUGCUACAGCUAGACUUUACGGGAGUUUCUACCAAUAUUUUUUUCGAAUGUUAUUUCAGGAUUUAUCCUGCAGUUCCUCUGAAAUUUCUGUAGAAGUUUAACCAGGGUUUAUUCCAAAGUAAUUCCUGGAAUUUCUAUAUAUAAGAAAUUCACUGACAAAUAGGGUAUGUGUUCCAUCAUUAAUCUCACGCUCCCAUAUUCAUCCUAUUCGAAAACAAGCGAUUACGGUACCGAUUGAUUCCGUUAUUUUUGUUUUCGUGGGUGCUCACUUCUAACAAAAAAUACAAAAAUAAGAAACAAAACAAACAGCGCUUCAAUCCUUUGUUUUUCGUAAGAUGAAAAUGGGAGCCACAUGCUUAAGAAGGGAACCAAUACCCUAUUAGAUGAAAUGCUGGUGAGGAAUUCCGCGAGGAACAAUUGAAGAUAUUUUGAGAGAAGCUUUGGAAGAAUUCCCGUGAAAAACUAGAACUUCUCGGAAAGUUUCCUGAGAGUAAUUUCGGGUUGAAUUCUGAAAGCAUCAUAAGAAAUCGCACGAGAAACUUCAAGCGAAAUCCUGGAAAAUUCCCUGGUAGGCAUGUAAAGAAAAAAUCUAGAGAAAUCUCGCAGAAACUGUUGGAAAGGUAUCCAGGAAAACCACUAAGAGAAAUCAUUCAUUCAAGUUUUGGGAAAGUUUGAAGGACACUCUGGAUGGACUACCACAAGAAGCAAUGAGAGUAAAACCGGGGAAAUCUCUUGAAGCAAUGUUUCUACAAAAAUCCGGUUUCCCGGUAGAAAUCCCAGAAAAUAAUCUUAGAAAACCCAGAAGGAACACCAGCAGCAAAUACGAGACACAAAAGUAGAUGGAAUCUUUGGAGAAAGUAUGUGUCCAAUCUAGAAACAAACUCUAGCAAACUUCUAAAAAAACUCUAGAUAAAUUCAAGGAAGAACUCAGUAAGAAUUUUUGAUGGAUCUUCAAGCAAAUCCCUAAACAAACUCCUAAAGAAAAUUCCAACCCGUGCACAAUGGUCGGAAAAAGAUAAAGUUCGGCCAAAACUCUUUUUAUGUGUUUAAUCGAAGUUAUAAGUUAUCUAGAUAUGUUAUAUAGUAUUUUUAGUGUUUAAAAAGGGGUAUUAAAAAAUUACGUAACUUCAAUAAUUUCGCAAACGGUAAAAAUCAGCAAACCCCACAUUUCUUGCGUUUUUUGUUAGAAAAUCAAUUUGCAUUUAAUUAAAUGAUCAUCUUUCGAUCAAAUCCAAUCAAGUUUGUUCAAAACGUGUGAAAAAUGUGGGAAAAAUGUGGGAAGAUAAAUUUUAUUUCAGUCAAAAAUGAAAAAAUAACGUAAAACAUAUGAAAAAACAUUACUAUUUUAAAUAGCUCUAAUUUGAAAAACUGCAAAUUUCUGCAAAAAGUUUAAACGUUUUUAUGCAGCCCUAAGCAUGAUGUUUAAGAAGUACUAUUCGAAAUUGCGGCGACACGUGACGACACGAACCGUUUUUUAACUUAAAAAUUACCAAAAUUCCUAAGGUACAAUAUAUGAGAAUUUGAAAAGUUUUGUGACAUAUUAAUUUUGCACCAUACGUACAUUCAAACAGUCCAAUAACAAGCUUUCAUAUGCUGGAUAACAUAAAACAUAUAUUCCAUUCUCAAAAUAUUAAUAUUUUACUUUUUUCUAAUAAUUCAUUUUUAAUUUUAUGACUUAGGCCACUUUGGCAGUGAAAAUGUCUUUGAAAUACAAAAGCUGGUAUGCUUUUAAUUAAGAAUCAUAAAACUACAAUGCAUUAUCUUUGUUAUAAGGCGAAAAAAAAUAAAUAUCAAUUCCGUUUUUUCAGAGUUUUGGUCGCCUUUUUGUAUGGAGCCCGACCAGUGGCGAUUCCCUAACCUCAAAUCUACCUGUUCAACGAUUGUACAUUUUUGUAUUUUCUCAACAAAUUAGCUUGUAAUUAGUAGAAAAUGACAAGAAUAGCCGUUUACAUCUAUUUUCAAUUUGAUUCUGAUCCUGAAUUCUUCACAAAUGUAAGUUUUAGGGCCGUUGAACAGGUAAAAAGUGAGGUUACGAGACGCCACUGAGCCCGACCAAUGUGCCGUGGAAGAUUUCUUGAGAACACAGGAUUUCUCCUGACUUUACUAGAACACAUCAGAAUAAUCAGAACUAUAUCUGAUUCACUAUUUUUUUUUUUCAAAAUUGCUAAUAUUCCACCCUUUUUUUCAGAUUUCCUGUAAGUUUCAAGAUUUCCACAGGAAUCCCUACAUUACUGCACCACCAGUAAGAAUCUGUCUUGUUCCACAGACUACGGAAUAACAAGAGUCGAUCUUUCACCCUUUUAUAUCUUUCGUAAAGAAAGAAUAUUCGGUCGUCUUGAACCUUUUAGUCUACCCAUUCCAAGUCGAGUUCAAACUAUGUACGGCCUCUCGGUUGUCUCUGGAUUGCGUGUGCACAAAAUGCACUUUACAUUGUCAAGGUGCAAUCAACGGAUUAGCCGUAAGUAAUAGGUAUAAUCUCUUGGUUUGUAAACAUCGCCAGCAGUAAAACAAACAAACAAACUCGAAACCGUCCAACAGUAGGUAAGUAUUGGUGGAAUAGAUUUUAGAACAACGCCCGGACGAGUUUUAUUGAUGCUGAAUAAAUAUUGCAAAGUGAUAAUUAUGACCAACACGCGCCGUCGUGCUUUGUGCACUGUACCGCUUCCAGUCAGGGGGAGGUUCGAGCGAAUUACAAGUUAAGCCCUGGUGCACCGAUGCAUCAAAGAUAAAGAGACGUAGCAGUUGGAACAAUUUUCUUUGAAACUAUCCGCUCAAGCCCAAGGAUUAGCCUGUGGUCGCCUGGUGAAUGAAAAUGGAUUUUUGAACAUAUUCCGUCUAACAUAGAAACGAUUCUUUAAUCACCAUGUUCUCUUUCACAUUUCUUCAAUAAAUUAUUGUGAUUUUUAAACCAAUUUUAAUACGAUUGAGUGUUAUAACAUUUUGGAAUAUGCAGCAUUAGUGAUACUUUUCGGAACGCUAAUCGUUUCGAGCAAUGUGUCUGUCUACCAGAUGGAGUUGCUAGUCCACAUAGAGGUUGCGAAAACGAUCGGUGCGCCUCUAGUUUUGAUGUUCACAACUAGUAAACUUUAAAAAAGGAUGUUAUGUAAUGUAAUCGAUGACAAUUUCGCCAGUGUGACGUCCGUUUGACUGUGUGGGCACUGUCCAUAUACAUUCGAUUUCAAGUCAAGUGGGCGCCGGCACUGGUGCCGUGUUUAUACGAUGGUGCUGGAAGAAAAUAGUCGUCGUCUUCGGCUCGAGACGAGACGGCGUUAAAUUUACGACUGACCGGAAAUUGAACGCAACAGUUGGUGCGCUGGAGACUGUGUGAAAAGUAUGGCUUAUUUUCCUAGAAAUUUAAACAAAUUUCCCAAUUUGUUUCCACAAGCAAAAUGCAACUUAAUUGCCAUUAUUGACACAGAACGAUCAAAAUAGUUUAAAAAUAUGUGGUUAACACAUGGAAAGUUUCGAAUCUUAUAUUAUUAAUUCUGUAUUAUCCUCUCUAUCAGUUGUGCCAGAAAAAAAUACCUAUGCCUUUGCAGCACAAAUACAUUCAAAAAUUCCUUCAUGGACUUCUCAAGAAAUUCACCAAGGCAUUCCUCCAAGACUGGCACUUGGAAUAUUUCAUGAAACUCCUUCAGGAAUUUCUCAACUAAUUCCUCCAUAGAUUCGUCCACGAAUUCUUCCCGUAACAGCUUCAAGAAAUUCUCUAGAGAUUCCUCCAGAACAUCUUGAUGAGUUUCCCGAUGAAAUCCUCCAGAAAAUCUUCCAGAAAUUCCAAUCAGAAUUUCUCCCCAAGGAUUCCUCCAGGGUAUAUUCCAGGAAUUCAUCCAGCAAAUACUCCAGGAAUUCCAUCAAGAUUUACUCAGGAAUUAUUCUAUGAAUUCCUCCACUAACACAGCGCAAAAUUUUUUUGUCUCAAGAGCAAACUUAUGUGUCUCCGAAAGAUUUUGGGCCGUUGAAUCCAAAUCCGGGCUCAGAUUUGCUCUAACACGUCACAAUUUUGAGCUAUACCUCAAUUUAUAGGGCAAAAUAUGCGAUUUUUGGCUUUUUUGGCAGCAAGCCAUUAAGCAAGGAAAUAUUUUUUUAAGCAAUCAAAAGGUUAAUUGGUCAAUUAACAUCUAAAUUAACGACUCAUGCAAAAUAUUUCGUUUAACCUAAUCAUAUUUGAUAGAUUUUAGCAUUUUAAGUUAGUAUGAAAACUUGCAUGCAACUUUUGGAGGGUGACUUGUAUGGGAAAUAUCGUACCUAACAUAAAUCGCUUAAAACUAUCAAAUUUGAUUAGGUAAAACGCAAUAUUUUGCAUGAGUCCUUAAUUUAGAUGUUAAUUGACCAAUUAACCUUUUGAUUGCUUAAAAAAAUAUUUCCUUGCUUAAUGACUUGCUGUCAAAAAAGCCCAAAAUCGCAUGUUUUGCCCUAUAAAUUGAGAUAUAGCUCAAAAUUGUGACGUGUUAGAGCAAAUCUGAGCCCGGAUUCGGAUUCAGCGGCUCAAAAUCAUAAGUUUGCUCUUGAGACAGACAAAAAGUAAAUUUUUGUUACGCUGUGUAAUUAUUACAGGAAUUUAUUUAGGAAUUGUUCCGGGAAACUUCCCUAGAAUUCCUACAAGAAAUAUUCCAGAUAUUCCUCCAGGAAUUAUUCCAAGACAUCCCCCAGGAACUACUCUUGGGAAUCCUAUAGAUUUCCUCCAGGGAUAACUCUAAGAAUUGUUCCUGGAAAUACUUCAAGAAAUCCUCCCGGAAAUAUUUCACGAAUUAUUUUAAGAAUUCCUCCAGAAAUUACUUUAUGAAUUAUUACAGGAAAUGCUCCAGGAAUUCUUCUAAGAAAUAUCCCAGGAAGUUCAGUAACAAUUCCUGCAUAAAUUACUACAUGAAUUCUUCCAGAAAGUACUCCAAGAAUUCCUCCAAGAAAUUCACGAAGAAAUUCUUGUAUGCAUUUUUGUAGGAUUUCUUGGAGAAAUUGCUGAAAGAAUUCGUCAAGGAAUUCCUGAAUAAGUUUCUGGAGAGAUUCUUGAUGGAAUUCGUGAAAGGUAUUCCUGGUGAAAAUCUUGGAAAGGUAUUCUGAAAGGGGUUGUUGGAGGAAUCCUUGGAGGAUGUCUUGAAGGAAUUCUUGUAGGAUUUCCCGAAGAAAUUCUUGGAGAAGUUCCAGGGGGGGGGGGGGUCCCGAAGAUAUCUAUUGAAAAUUGCCUGGAGAUAUUCUUGGAUGGGUAUAUAAAGGAAUCCCUGGCCAUAUUCCUGAAGGGAUUCUUGAAGGAAUUUUUGACAGAAGUAUGGGAGCAGGUCUUGGAGAAAUUAUAAUUAGUGUUCCUAUAGGAAUACUUGAAAAUUCCUGGACGGAUUCUUGGAGGAAUUCUUAACAGAAGUGUUGGAGAAUUAUCUGGAGAAAUCCUGGGAAAAAAUCCUGGAGGAAGUUUUGGAGAAACUUUUGGAUGAAUUCUCGGAGAAAUUCCUGGUGAGAUUUUUGGAAGAAUUCUGCACAGAAUUCGUGGAGUAAUUUUUUGAAAUUUUUUUGGAGGAAUUCUUGGAAAAAGUCACGGACAGGUCCUGCCGAAUUCCCUAAAGGUAUUCUCGGAUGAAUCGCUAGAGUUGUCCCAGGAGUAUUUUCUUGAGAAAUUUCUAGAGGGUUCCUGAAGAAUCUUGGAGGAAUUUCUGGAGGAUUUUCGAGGCGAAAUUCUUGGGGAAAUUGUUGUAGGAAUUCUUAGAAUUAUUCUAGGCAGAUGUCUUGAAGGAAUUCCUGGAUGAAUUCUUGGAGAAAUUACUUGAGAAGUUCUUGGUGAAAUUCCUGAAGAUAUUGUAAGAAAAAUUUCUGAAGGAACUUCCGGAGGACUUCCUGAAGGAAUUUCCGGAAUAAUCUCUGGGGCAAUUUCUGGAGGAUAUCAUGGUAUAAUUCCAAAAAUAAUUUAUUAAGGAAUUCCAGGAGGAAUUCCCGAAGAAAUUCCUGAAGGAGUUCCUGGAGUUAUUUCGGGAGGAAGUUUUGGCGUAAUUCGUUAAGAAAUUUUUGGAGAAUUUUCUAAUGAAAUCCCUGAAGGAAAUCUCGGACGAUUUCUUAGAGUAACUCCAGCUGUAUUAUUUAAAGGUUUCCUGAAAAAUCCUCGUGAUAUUCAUUAAGAAAUUUCUAGGGGUAUUCUUAAAAAAAUCUUUGAAAAUCCCUGAGGAAACUCUUGGAAGUAUUCUUCGAAGAAUUUCUGAAGAAGUUCCUUGAGGAUUUCCUGAAGUAAUUUCUGUAGGAAUUCAUUGAAAAAUUUCUUAAAGAAUUCCUGGAGAAAUGCCUAAAAGAAAUCUCGGAGGAAUCCCAGGAGUAAUUUUUGGAAGAAUUUCUGGAGGAUUUCCCCCAGGUUUCUUAAGGAAUUCUUCGAGGAAUUUUUGAGGAACAUCCUAGAGGGCAUCUUAGAGGUAUUUCUUGAGGAAUGCUUGGAGAAUUUUUUGGCAGGAGUCUUGGAGGACCUGGAAAAAAUCUUGGAGGAAUUCCAGGACGGACUCCUGUAGGCAUUUCUGGAGGGUUUGUCCGAAAGAAUCCCUGAAGAAAUUUUCGGAAUAAUGUCGAUAUAAAUUCAUGGAGUUAUUCUCAGAAUUAUCUAGAGGCGUUAGUCAUCUAGCUUCGGAAUGUGGGUUCGAUUUCCGCUCCAACCGGGAAAUUCUUUUCGUCAAACGAAAAAUUCUCCACUGGACCACAGGGUGUUAUGUGUGUUGUCCGUUGUUCAAUGCUAGUGCUUGUUCAGUCUGUACAACCUCUGAUUGAAGACGGUGUGGUGUAUUUUUUGUGUAAUUCCUGAAGUAACUUUUGAGGAUUUCCUAAAUAAAAUUUUCAAGCCAUUCCUGAAGGAACUUUUAAAAAAAUCCCGGAGAAUUUUUGAAGUAAUGCCAGGAAUAACUAAAUACUAAGGGAGUUUUUGAAGAAUUUCACGGUGGAUCCUGAAGGAAUUUUUAGAGGCAUUCUUGGAGUACAACAGAAUCGUGAAAGAAUUUUACUGAUAGAGUAAAGAGAAAUAAGAGUAGAGCCUGCGGACGUUGAACGUCUUAAUUCCAGAAUAGUUUGGAUGACCUAGAUCACCAAGUGAAUGUUGUAAUGUUAUCAGAAUUGCACUCUGAGACUCUAAGAGUAGCGUAGAUUAUAUUUCGCGAGCAUUCGCUACAAUAAAAACAUCCAAAGAUUUACAGAUAUUGCGGCCGAUACUUCAAAAUACAUUGGGGUCCAUUUAUAUGCCAAUAGACACCCAACUAGCAACACAUAGAUAUACUCGCAAUAUUAUGAGGUGCAACAGACAUAAUCGUGAAAGAAUUAUGCCGAUAGAGUGAAAAGAUACAAGAGUAGAGCAUGUAGACCUUGAAGAUUCUAAUUCCUGAAUAGUUUGGAAAGCCUGGAAUAACCCAUGAAUGCACCAAAAUGAUGCAAAUAAUGCACUGAGACACAACUAUAGACUACAUUCCACGAUUUCUUUUUUACAAUUAAAUCAUGAUACAGUAUGUAGAUAUCGUAACCCAAACUUCAAAGUGUAUUGGAGGCCAUUUGUAUUUCACGGAUUGUCCAACUACCACAAUAUGAAGUUGCUUGUAACAUUGCGAGGUCUAAUGGACAUCAACGUGACUAAAUUUCUUGAACAGAGUGAUUACAAAUGAUGAUAGAUCCAGUAUAUCUUAAGAAAAUAAAUUCCAGAGUAGUUUGGAUGACCUCAAUCACCCUAUUCAUGCACCAUAAAUUUUCUUGGGAUGCUUUGAGGCUUUUUGAGUACCGUAAACCGGGGUCAAAUUGAUCUCCGGGUCGAAAUUGAUCAGACGAUUUUCGGUUAGAUAAAACAUACUUCAAAUAGUUUCAAGCAAAUAUCGUUUAGUAUCGGUUCCCAACUGCACGAUAGUAGAAAGGAAAUUAUUUAAAUUAUGCUAAACCUAACCGAAGAACGUGUGAUCAAUUUCGACCCGAAGAUCAAUUUGACCCCGGUUUACGGUACCGUAGACUAUGUUCUGUGAUCAUUCAUCGUGUAUAAAAUUUGGUCUAGAAUGAUGAAUUUGUGAUACAAACUUCGGAGUACUUUGGAGGCCUUAGAAUAGCUCUGGGAUGAAAACUUCAACAGACUAUGAUGGGUAGUGAUACAUUGCAUGUCAAGGAUCAGUCAAAACUAUUGAUGAUAAGCAAAACGAUGAAAUUUGAGCAAAAACAUGU